CGUGUCUCUAUUGGAGCUGCAGUGCUGACAUUAUCAUCUGUGGUGAAACAUUAGCAUCAUUAACUGAGAAACAGGAGCACGUUCAGUAGGCGGACAGUAAAUCUAAGAGUGUCAGUGCUAUUGAUGGAGGAGCAAAGGCACUUCUGAGCUGCUGGCGAGAGACGCCGCGGAGCGAAAUGAACCCAACAAAUGUUUUAUUCAUAGCAUGCAGCAGCUGUGGGUGUGAAUGCAGGAGCAGCUGCGGUGCCGGGCCGGUCCACGCAUCUCCUGGCAGACCCACAGCAGUGCCUCAGUGCCAUGAUCCCUGCUCCCGGAGGAAGACCGGAGCCCGCCGGAGCCGCACCGCACCGCCACUGUAGAGCACAACUCCCUGGGCCCAGAAGUUCACGGAAACAGGUGUCAGGACAGGACCGGUUCCCGACCCGCUCAUCCAGGUGAGGGCGACGGCUCGUGGCCUGAGGUUUCCCUGAGAGCCUCCGGCUGGAGUUUGAGGAGCGUCAGCGGAAGCAGACGCGGGACUAGCGGAAGAACAUCUCCAGGCUAGCACACACUACAUCAGGCUAAUGAGUGUGUGCAGGUGACCGGAGUCGUCUGAGCCCCGGAGAACAGCAUCACACAGGUACACACACACACACACACACACACAAACCUCUUCAUCUGCUCAGUUUCUACCUCUGCCCUAAACUCUCUGUUCUCUC